GCACUGCUGAAGAGUCUCACAAUAGGACGAAGCGGCCGUUUAGUGC
rnacentral:hammerhead_ribozyme from 1 species